rnacentral:rRNA from 1 species
GAUGAACGCUGGCGGCGUGCCUAAUACAUGCAAGUCGAGCGAACAGACGAGGAGCUUGCUCCUCUGACGUUAGCGGCGGACGGGUGAGUAACACGUGGAUAACCUACCUAUAAGACUGGGAUAACUUCGGGAAACCGGAGCUAAUACCGGAUAAUAUAUUGAACCGCAUGGUUCAAUAGUGAAAGACGGUUUUGCUGUCACUUAUAGAUGGAUCCGCGCCGCAUUAGCUAGUUGGUAAGGUAACGGCUUACCAAGGCAACGAUGCGUAGCCGACCUGAGAGGGUGAUCGGCCACACUGGAACUGAGACACGGUCCAGACUCCUACGGGAGGCAGCAGUAGGGAAUCUUCCGCAAUGGGCGAAAGCCUGACGGAGCAACGCCGCGUGAGUGAUGAAGGUCUUCGGAUCGUAAAGCUCUGUUAUUAGGGAAGAACAAAUGUGUAAUUAACUAUGCACGUCUUGACGGUACCUAAUCAGAAAGCCCCGGCUAACUACGUG